rnacentral:lncRNA from 1 species
CCCACCAUUGCUAUAGCCCACCCGUUUUUUGGCCAUUUUUCCGCUGGUGUUGUUUUGGCACCACGACCUUCAGGCGCUUAUUUUUGGGCGCAGCUUUGCCCGCGGCUUAUUUUUGGCACCCCGAGGCCCCUCGCAAAGUCUCGCCGCAUUCCGAGUCCGGCGGACGAACUUCGCCCGCGCCCCCCACCAAGGCUAUAGCCCACCCGUUUUUUGGCCAUUUUUCCACUGGGGGGUUUUGGCACCACGACCUUCGGGCGCUUAUUUUUGGGCGCGGCUUUGCCCGCGGCUUAUUUUUGGCACCCCGAGGCCCCUCGCAAAGUCUCGCCGCAUUCCGAGUCCGGCGGACGAACUUCGCCCGCGCCCCCCACCAAGGCUAUAGCCCACCCGUUUUUUGGCCAUUUUUCCGCUGGGGGGUUUUGGCACCACCACCUUCGGGCGCUUAUUUUUGGGCGCGGCUUUGCCCGNNNNNNNNNNNNNNNNNNNNNNNNNNNNNNNNNNNNNNNNNNNNNNNNNNNNNNNNNNNNNNNNNNNNNNNNNNNNNNNNNNNNNNNNNNNNNNNNNNNNNCCGUUUUUUGGCCAUUUUUCCGCUGGGGGGUUUUGGCACCACGACCUUCGGGCGCUUAUUUUUGGGCGCGGCUUUGUCCGCGGCUUAUUUUUGGCACCGCGAGGCCCCUCGCAAAGUCUCGCCGCAUUCCGAGUCCGGCGGACGAACUUCGCCCGCGCCCCCCACCAAGGCUAUAGCCCACCCGUUUUUUGGCCAUUUUUCCGCUGGUGGGUUUUGGCGCCACGACCUUCGGGCUCUUAUUUUUGGGCGUGGAUUUGCCCGGGGCUUUGCCCGCGGCUUAUUUUUGGCACCCCGAGGCCCCUCGCAAAGUCUCGCCGCAUUCCGAGUCCGGCGGACGAACUUCGCCCGCGUCGCCCACCAAGGCUAUAGCCCACCCGUUUUUUGGCCAUUUUUCCACUGGGGGGUUUUGGCACCACGACCUUCGGGCGGUUAUUUUUGGGGGCGGCUUUGCCCGCGGCUUAGUUUUGGCACCCCGAGGCCCCUCGCAAAGUCUCGCCGCAUUCCGAGUCCGGCGGACGAACUUCGCCCGCGCCCCCCACCAAGGCUAUAGCCCACCCGUUUUUUGGCCAUUUUUCCGCUGGGGAGGUUUUGGCACCACCACCUUCGGGCGCUUAUUUUUAGGCACGGCUUUGCCCGCGGCUUAUUUUGGUACCGCGAGGCCCCUGGCAAAGUCUCGCCGCAUUCCGAGUCCUGCGACGAACUUCGCCCCGCCGCCCCCCACCAAGCUAUAGCCCACCCGUUUUUUGGCCAUUUUUCCGCUGGGGGGUUUUGGCACCACGACCUUCGGGCGCUUAUUUUUGGGCGCGGCUUCGCCCGCGGCUUAUUUUUGGAACCCCGAGGCCCCUCGCAAAGUCUCGCCGCAUUCCGAGUCCGGCGGACGAACUUCGCCCGCGUCCCCCACCAAGGCUAUAGCCCACCCGUUUUUUGGCCAUUUUUCCGCUGGGGGGUUUUGGCACCACGACCUUCGCGCGGUUAUUUUUGGGCGCGGCUUUGCCCGCGGCUUAUUUUUGGCACCGCGAGGCCCCUCGCAAAGUCUCGCCGCAUUCCGAGUCCGGCGGACGAACUUCGCCCGCGCCCCCCACCAAGGGUAUAGCCCAUCCGUUUUUUGGCCAUUUUUCCGCUGGGGGGUUUUGGCACCACGACCUUCGGGCGCUUAUUUUUGGGCGCGGCUUUCCCCGCGGCUUAUUUUUGGCACCCCGAGGCCCCUCGCAAAGUCUCGCCGCAUUCCGAGUCCGGCGGACGAACUUCACCCGCGCCCCCCACCAAGGCUAUAGCCCUCCUGUUUUUGGCCAUUUUUCCGCUGGGGGGUUUUGGAACCACAACUUUCGGGCGCUUAUUUUUGGGCACGGCUUUGCCCGCGGCUUAUUUUUGGCACCCCGAGGCCCCUCGUAAAGUCUCGCCGCAUUCCGAGUCCGGCGGACGUACUUCGCCCGCGCCCCCCACCAAGGCUAUAGCCCACCCGUUUUUUGGCCAUUUUUCCGCUCGGGGGUUUUGGCACCACGACCUUCGGGCGCUUAUUUUUGGGCGCGGCUUUCCCCGCGGCUUAUUUUUGGCACCCCGAGGCCCCUCGCAAAGUCUCGCCGCAUUCCGAGUCCGGCGGACGAACUUCGCCCGCGCCCCCCACCAAGGCUAUAGCCCACCCGUUUUUUGGCCAGUUUUCCGCUGGGGGGUUUUGGCGCCACGACCUUCGGGCGCUUAUUUUUGGGCGUGGUUUUGGGCGCGGCUUUGCCCGCGGCUUAUUUUUGGCACCCCGAGGCCCCUCGCAAAGUCUCGCCGCAUUCCGAGUCCGGCGGACGAACUUCGCCCGCGUCCCCCACCAAGGCUAUAGCCCACCCGUUUUUUGGCCAUUUUUCCGCUGGGGGGUUUUGGCACCACGACCUUCGCGCGGUUAUUUUUGGGGGCGGCUUUGCCCGCGGCUUAUUUUUGGCACCGCGAGGCCCCUCGCAAAGUCUCGCCGCAUUCCGAGUCCGGCGGACGAACUUCGCCCGCGCCCCCCACCAAGGGUAUAGCCCAUCCGUUUUUUGGCCAUUUUUCCGCUGGGGGGUUUUGGCACCACGACCUUCGGGCGCUUAUUUUUGGGCGCGGCUUUCCCCGCGGCUUAUUUUUGGCACCCCGAGGCCCCUCGCAAAGUCUCGCCGCAUUCCGAGUCCGGCGGACGAACUUCACCCGCGCCCCCCACCAAGGCUAUAGCCCACCCGUUUUUUGGCCAUUUUUCCGCUGGGGGGUUUUGGAACCACAACUUUCGGGCGCUUAUUUUUGGGCACGGCUUUGCCCGCGGCUUAUUUUUGGCACCCCGAGCCCCCUCGUAAAGUCUCGCCGCAUUCCGAGUCCCCGCCCCCCGUACUUCGCCCGCGCCCCCCACCAAGGCUAUAGCCCACCCGUUUUUUGGCAUUUUUUCCGCUGGGGGGUUCUGGCACCACGACCUUCGGGCGCUUAUUUUUGGGCGCGGCUUUCCCCGCGACUUAUUUUUGGCACCCCGGGGCCCCUCGCAAAGUCUCGCCACAUUCCGAGUCCGGCGGACGAACUUCGCCCGCGCCCCCCACCAAGGCUAUAGCCCACCCGUUUUUUGGCCAUUUUUCCGCUGGGGGGUUUUGGCACCACGACCUUCGGGCGCUUAUUUUUGGGCGCGGCUUCGCCCGCGGCUUAUUUUUGGCACCCCGAGGCCCCUCGCAAAGUCUCGCCCCAUUCCGAGUCCGGCGGACGAACUUCGCCCGCGCCCCCCACCAAGGCUAUAGCCCACCCGUUUUUUGGCCAUUUUUCCGCUGGGGGGUUUUGGCACCACGACCUUCGGGCGCUUAUUUUUGGGCGCGGCUUCGCCCGCGGCUUAUUUUUGGCACCCCGAGGCCCCUCGCAAAGUCUCGCCCCAUUCCGAGUCCGGCGGACGAACUUCGCCCGCGCCCCCCACCAAGGCUAUAGCCCACCCGUUUUUUGGCCAUUUUUCCGCUGGGGGGUUUUGGCACCACGACCUUCGGGCGCUUAUUUUUGGGCGCGGCUUUCCCCGCGGCUUAUUUUUGGCACCCCGAGGCUCCUCGCAAAGUCUCGCCCCAUUGCGAGUCCGGCGGACGAACUUCGCCCGCGCCCCCCACCAAGGCUAUAGCCCACCCGUUUUUUGGCCAUUUUUCCGCUGGGGGGUUUUGGCACCACGACCUUCGGGCGCUUAUUUUUGGGCGCGGCUUUGCCCGCGGCUUAUUUUUGGCACCCCGAGGCCCCUCGCAAAGUCUCGCCCCAUUCCGAGUCCGGCGGACGAACUUCGCCCGCGCCCCCCACCAAGGCUAUAGCCCACCCGUUUUUUGGCCAUUUUUCCGCUGGGGGGUUUUGGCACCACGACCUUCGGGCGCUUAUUUUUGGGCGCGGCUUAGGCCGCGGUUUAUUUUUGGCACCCCGAGGCCCCUCGCAAAGUCUCGCCCCAUUCCGAGUCCGGCGGACGAACUUCGCCCGCGCCCCCCAACAAGGCUAUAGCCCACCCGUUUUUUGGCCAUUUUUCCGCUGGGGGGUUUUGGCACCACGACCUUCGGGCGCGGCUUUGCCCGCGGCUUAUUUUUGGCACCCCGAGGCCCCUCGCAAAGUCUCGCCCCAUUCCGAGUCCGGCGGACGAACUUCGCCCGCGCCCCCCACCAAGGCUAUAGCCCACCCGUUUUUUGGCCAUUUUUCCGCUGGGGAGUUUUGGCACCACGACCUUCGGGCGCUUAUUUUUGGGCGCGGCUUCGCCCGCGGCUUAUUUUUGGCACCCCGAGGCCCCUCGCAAAGUCUCGCCCCAUUCCGAGUCCGGCGGACGAACUUCGCCCGCGCCCCCCACCAAGGCUAUAGCCCACCCGUUUUUUGGCCAUUUUUCCGCUGGGGGGUUUUGGCACCACGACCUUCGGGCGCUUGUUUUUUUGCGCGGCUUUGCCCGCGGCUUAUUUUUGGCACCCCGAGGCCCCUCGCAAAGUCUCGCCCCAUUCCGAGUCCGGCGGACGAACUUCGCCCGCGCCCCCCACCAAGGCUAUAGCCCACCCGUUUGUUGGCCAUUUUUCCGCUGGGGGGUUUUGGCACCACGACCUUCGGGCGCUUAUUUUUGGGCGCGGCCUCGCCCGCGGCUUAUUUUUGGCACCCCGAGGCCCCUCGCAAAGUCUCGCCCCAUUCCGAGUCCGGCGGACGAACUUCGCCCGCGCCCCCCACCAAGGCUAUAGCCCACCCGUUUUUUGGCCAUUUUUCCGCUGGGGGGUUUUGGCACCACGACCUUCGGGCGCUUAUUUUUGGGCGCGGCUUUGCCCGCGGCUUAUUUUUGGCACCCCGAGGCCCCUCGCAAAGUCUCGCCCCAUUCCGAGUCCGGCGCACGAACUUCGCCCGCGCCCCCCACCAAGGCUAUAGCCCACCCGUUUUUUGGCCAUUUUUCCGCUGGGGGGUUUUGGCACCACGACCUUCGGGCGCUUAUUUUUGGGCGCGGCUUUGCCCGCGGCUUAUUUUUGGCACCCCGAGGCCCCUCGCAAAGUCUCGCCCCAUUCCGAGUCCGGCGGACGAACUUCGCCCGCGCCCCCCACCAAGGCUAU